rnacentral:rRNA from 1 species
UCAUAGACUAUGACGUUGAUAGGCAAGAUGUGUAAGCGCUGUGAGGCGUUGAGCUAACUUGUACUAAUAACUCGUGAGGCUUGAUCAUGUAACCUUAAGUAAGGUUAUA